CUUACAUAGCAGUUAAAGGCAUCGUAGCAAGAAAGGCUGAAAAACACAUAUACAUUUUUAUCUCAGAAAACACUAAAACUCAUAUUAGGGUCAGAGACAGGCACCUUGGGAGUAACAACUACCCGAACAGAGCUCAAGUAGUAAAGGUGUUCCUGCUCUGGGACACCACAGAUGUAUACACAAUCACAUGACCAAUCCCACUUCUGGUACAUAUCAAGCAGUACUAGCAGACUUACAACAUUUCUGAUGCCAGGGCUGAUCCUGGGCAGUUGCACUGCCUCCAGGCACCACAGGAGCAGAGGAAGAAGGGGGCCGCAUUAGAAAGCUGGCCUGUCAGCUGCUGCUAACAGAGAGGACAGCGCACCACCAGUACCGCAGAGGAUGGAGGAAGACUGCAUUUCCUCCCAUCGCCCUGAGGGCAGACACAGUGACAGAUGUAACUAAUAAACACUUCACAUUUACGGGAGUAGUAACUGUUAUGAUACUGACCCACAAAAUAAAUUGGUUGUGCAUGUUUUGCCCUACA